CCCGCCGCUACCGGAGCGCGGCUCCCGGGGAUCAGCGCGGAGCUGCGGCACCGGCAGCCCCGAUCCGCCGCCGCAGCCGCGCCGCGGGUCGGCGCAGGGCGGCCGGGAGCCGCCGCCCCGCCAGCGGGGAAGGCGAGGGAAGGCGAGGCGGUGCCAGGCGCGGGGGGGCCGCCUCGCCUCCCGCCCCUCAGGUGCUGAGGUGAUGGGCGCGGGCGGCCCCCGCCGCCCCCCCGCCAACCGCCGCCCCGGGGCACCCCGCGGCCUGGGCCGCCCCCCCCCGCGCCGCGCCGGCGGGCUCAGCCCGGCGGUACCGCCCGGGGGAGACGCGUUACCUCGCCGGGCUCCUGCGGCGCCCGGGGCGCUCAGCCGUCCGCCGGCGGGGGCUGGGGACCCGCCUGGCCCCCCGCGGUAGCGCCGCCGCCCCGCUCCGCGCUGGGUGGGCGGGUGGGUUUCCUGCGUCCCCGCGGCGCGGGGUGAAUAAUCCCUCCGGAACGGCAGCGGCACCUCCGUGUGUCUGUCAGUCAGUCGGCCGGUCCGUCAGUCAUGUUGCGGCCGGGCGUGUGCGUGUGUGUGUGCGCGGCGGGCGGAUUGGCGGCGCGCGGGGCGGGCGGGGGCGGGCCGGGGCGGCGCUUCCGCGCGUGUGCCGGUGCGGGGCGCGUGUGCCCGCGGCGUGGCCUCUGUGUGCGUGUCCGUGUGGGACCACCGCAUCCGUGCGUGGGGCGCGGGGCGCGUGUGUCUGCGUGCACGCCCGUCGCGGGGGUUGCCGCGCGUGUCCGUGGCCGCCCGUGCUCCCACGCCCCCCCCCGCCGCCUUGCCACCUGCCGGCGCUGCCCCGCGCCGCGGCGGGACCGGUGAGGCGGGGGCCGGGGGGCCGCACCCCGCCGGGCUCGGCGCCAGCGCUCCGCCGGCCUCCCCACGCGAGAGGCAAACACGCGAGGCGGGGGGAAAGCCCGACUCUCCCCGGAUGGAAUUCGGCUCCGCUCCCGUGUGUUUACACUCGCCGUCAGCUCGAUACAUGUCUUGUAAUGAUUCUCCAGCCGCUCUAUCGCCAUCCCAGCGCGCCGCCCGCCCUCGGGAGGGAAGAAGGCAACAGCGUUUAAGAAGUGGUCGCCACACCAAAGGCAGGUCUCGUCUCCACCAGCGUGCGAGCAGGAACGAUUUCCCUGGAAUACUGGGUCAGGGCUGAGGGCAGUUACACGGCACUUAAAUCUGAUGAAUUAACUCCCUCAUCAAUUCAGAAAGAAAAGGUAAAACAGAGGAAUAACCAUGUUCUCUCCAACUAAUACUUAAGAACUACGACUGAGUUUUCAUACGGUGUUUUCUUGCCAAUUUAUAUGGGAUCCUUCCUGCAUCACACGCCAAAGUGAACUAUCUUGCCUCAGCAAGGACAUCAGUUGAGUAAAAUGAGUGACGAUCUGCCGGUGACAGACUGCAGAUAUGUGCCCUGUCCCCUCUUAUUACAAAAAAUAACAUGCAUAAGUCAAUGCACUGGAGAAACUCAUUGACUUUGCAGACUUAAGUCUCCACGGGAGCAAAGUGUGUUCUUCAUUCUGUAACAUCAUUGCUCAAGAAAUUUUUGCUAUUAGGCUUACACAGAGAAAUGCAGAUCAGGAUGGAGCCAACGGAGUUCUGAAGAAUUUCCACAUUUCCACAAAAUACAACUUAACAGCAACAAUGAGGUUCUGCUGAAAUCCUGAAUAAGGUUGCGUGAGCGCGCAGAAGCAGUCACAGAGCAAAGCUUGGGGUGUGCCGCACACGAUAGCACCACAGUGAUGCUACGUGGACAGAAACAGGUAUUUAGUAGCCUGUCAUCCACAUUUAAAAGGCAAAAGAAUCUCAUGUGACACUGCCUCAAGAGUAGGUGUUCAUUGAAAGUACCUAACUUCACAGUUUGGGAAUUUCCAACAAGAGCGUGCAGUAACCAGAUCGUUUUUACUCAAAGCCAGUUCACAACCCAGCGAAGCAUUUAAGCACGUACUCAACUCUACGCCCGUGAGCUGUCUCAGUGAAGACCGGGGUAUUUGCCGUUACUAAAAUGGUGGGUCUGCUUAGCUGCUUUAUUAAGCUCAGACAGCCUUGAAGCUAGAGGCAGAGGAAUCCGUGUUUUGCUGAAUCAGGGUUCUCCUAAGAGCCUUGCAUGAUUUUCAAACUCCAUCUCUUGCCCUCCUCCUUCUUCCUUGUAUUCAGCAGAAGAUUCCCAGAGCCUCCUAAUGGUUAACUCCGACUCUCCGGGCACGUUUCUAUAAGCUCUCCUGCCUGUCAUUGCCCUGAAAGGUGAGCCUCUGUGAUUAAGCAGCACUUCCAGACGCACUCACAAGUGAUGCUUCCAGUGAAGCCGGAGAGGCUUUGAUCAGCCCAGUGACACAGGCAGACGAACAGCAGCCAGAGUUUGUACAGCGUAACGGCAGCUUUUCCAACACUAAACUGCAUUUUAGUGAAGGGGGGGGAGGGGGGUGUUAAAGCCCCAAACAUUGUAAUAACCUUAAGCAUCGAGCAAUAUCUGUUUUCAAGUAGGUUUGCUACUGACAGCCCAGCAAAUAGCUGUGGAAGCUACGGGAGGAGGAACACUUACGGCCACCACACCCUGGACCUGCCCAAGCACACAUAACCUGAUUCUCUUCUCCCACCAGUUUCCUACUGAAAGGCUCUCUGUAUGACAGGGUAUUUCACCAAAAUCUUCAUUAAUUUUUGCUAGCACAAUGAAUCCUUAAGAGGAAGUUCCAGGUUCAGAGAUGCGCAUCUCGGAAAAAGACAUUCUCACUGACUGAGAAAUAAACGUCCUGAAAGUCACUACGA